GAUGAACGCUGGCGGCGUGCUUAACACAUGCAAGUCGAACGGAAAGGCUCCUGCUUGCAGGGGUACUCGAGUGGCGAACGGGUGAGUAACCCGUGGGUGAUCUGCCCUGCACUUCGGGAUAAGCCUGGGAAACUGGGUCUAAUACCGGAUAGGACCACAUUUUGGAUGGUGUGGUGGAAAGUUUUUCGGUGUGGGAUGAGCUCGCGGCCUAUCAGCUUGUUGGUGGGGUAAUGGCCUACCAAGGCGUCGACGGGUAGCCGGCCUGAGAGGGUGUACGGCCACAUUGGGACUGAGGUACGGCCCAGAGUCCUACGGUAGGCAGCAGGGGGGAAUAUUGCACAAUGGGCGCAAGCCUGAUGAAGCGACGCUGCGUGGGGGAUGACGGCCUUCGGGUUGUAAACUCCUUUCGCUAGGGACGAAGCGCAAGUGACGGUACCUGGAGAAGAAGCACCGGCUAACUACGUG
rnacentral:rRNA from 1 species